rnacentral:rRNA from 1 species
UACAUGGGGUGCAAACGUUGCUCGGAAUUAUUGGGCGUAAAGAGCUCGUAGGCGGUUUGUCGCGUCUGCCGUGAAAGUCCGGGGCUCAACUCCGGAUCUGCGGUGGGUACGGGCAGACUAGAGUGAUGUAGGGGAGACUGGAAUUCCUGGUGUAGCGGUGAAAUGCGCAGAUAUCAGGAGGAACACCGAUGGCGAAGGCAGGUCUCUGGGCAUUAACUGACGCUGAGGAGCGAAAGCAUGGGGAGCGAACGGG